AUGAUUCUUUCGUAAAUCAUUUUUUGAAUCAGAGGGGAAGUCCUUGAUUUUAUGGAAUGAUUUACGAAAAAAUUGA